AUUGAACGCUGGCGGCAGGCCUAACACAUGCAAGUCGAACGGUAACAGGAAGCAGCUUGCUGCUUCGCUGACGAGUGGCGGACGGGUGAGUAAUGUCUGGGAAGCUGCCUGAUGGAGGGGGAUAACUACUGGAAACGGUAGCUAAUACCGCAUAAUGUCGCAAGACCAAAGAGGGGGACCUUCGGGCCUCUUGCCAUCGGAUGUGCCCAGAUGGGAUUAGCUUGUUGGUGGGGUAACGGCUCACCAAGGCGACGAUCCCUAGCUGGUCUGAGAGGAUGACCAGCCACACUGGAACUGAGACACGGUCCAGACUCCUACGGGAGGCAGCAGUGGGGAAUAUUGCACAAUGGGCGCAAGCCUGAUGCAGCAAUGCCGCGUGUAUGAAGAAGGCCUUCGGGUUGUAAAGUACUUUCAGCGGGGAGGAAGGGAGUAAAGUUAAUACCUUUGCACAUUGACGUUACCCGCAGAAGAAGCACCGGCUAACUCCGUG
rnacentral:rRNA from 1 species